GCCGGAUGGAAUAAAUACCCUGGGAGGGCGUUUUCUUGUUACUGUUUCCCAGAGCAGUGGGGAUUCCAGGGCAGCACGUGGGAGCUCCAGUUGGGCAGCUUCCCCUGCCACGGAGAAGAGGGGAUGCCAAGGAGGUACUCAUCAUUCAGCCUGUCAUUCACCCGACAGUCAGCCCCAGGAGAGAGCCACUCAACAGGGAGUUUGGAUGCUCUCCAACUUGUGUGAUCCAGACAAGUCGCUUCCCUUCUCUGGACCUCGAUUUCUUCAAGUAAAACGUGAGGAUUUUUCCAGUUCUAAGACAGGAGGCCUUUUCCAUCCCAUGGGGAACAAGAUGAACUAAGAGCUUGGCUCAAGUGGAAAGCAUCCAGCAACCUCCACCCGGAUACAGCUGGCCACCCCUCGGGCAGCCAUAGCAGGUGGCCACCAAAUCAAACAGAACCUCUGAUGGCUCCUACCCAGGACUUCUGACCACUGAACACCUGUGAUUCCUGAAACAGAACAGGAGAGGGGCUGGAAACCAGCAGAUGAGAGGAGCCUGCCAGAACAAAGGGGAAGCGUCAGGAGGGAACACGUUGGAGCUGAGCAACCGCAGAAGCAAAAUGAAAGAGCCCAGACAGUUGUAUAAAGUGCCAAACAGCAAACAGAUGGGGAGGAAAAACUGACUCACUGAAAUGAGGGAGACAGACAGAGAAGGCACCAUGGAGGAGAGCCCUCUGCGAGUCAGGCUUGAGGUCAUCCUUAACUAGACUCCCGAGACCCUGGCUCAGUCUCAUGAGCCCUCCGGCUUUGCCUAAUUUGGCCGCAGCAACAGUCUGGCAAACACAGGAGGAUAUAGUCUAAUUUCUGCAAUAAUGAAAAGCCUCAAGACACAUUUACUCCCUAA